GGCGUCGGUGAUGCUCUGUUACCUACAUUGUUUGAGGUCUCCUGAGAAAACCAGUGUUAUCUGAGACGCCC
rnacentral:snoRNA from 1 species